UACGAAGGGGGCGAGCGUUGUUCGGAAUUACUGGGCGUAAAGGGCGCGUAGGCGGCGAUCCUAGUCAGAUGUGAAAGUCCUGGGCUUAACCUGGGGACUGCAUUUGAUACUGGAUUGCUUGAAUUCGGGAGAGGAUAGCGGAAUUCCCAGUGUAGAGGUGAAAUUCGUAGAUAUUGGGAAGAACACCGGUGGCGAAGGCGGCUAUCUGGACCGACAUUGACGCUGAGGCGCGAAAGCGUGGGGAGCAAACAGG
rnacentral:rRNA from 1 species